UACCCGCUGAAUUUAAGCAUAUCAAUAAGCGGAGGAAAAGAAACUAACCAGGAUUCCCCCAGUAACGGCGAGUGAAGAGGGAAAAGCCCAAAUUUGUAAUCUGGCUCUUUCAGAGUCCGAGUUGUAAUUUUGAGAGCUGUUUUCUGUGCUGGACCAUUUCUAAGUCUGUUGAAAAAUAGCAUCAUUGAGGGUGAUAAUCCCGUUCAUGAUAUGGACUGCCAGUGCAAUAUGAUACAGUUUCUAAGAGUCGAGUUGUUUGGGAAUGCAGCUCAAAGAGGGUGGUAAAUUCCAUCUAAGGCUAAAUAUAGGUGAGAGACCGAUAGCAUACAAGUACCGUGAGGGAAAGAUGAAAAGAACUUUGGAAAGAGAGUUAACAGUGCGUGAAAUUGUUGUAAGGGAAACAUUUAAAGUUAGCCUUGUGCUUGUUAGUUCAGCCCUUCUCUAGGGUGUAUUCUAAUAUUGUCACAGACCAACAUCAGUUUUUGGGUGCUGGAUAAGGGUUCUGGAAAUGUGACAGUUUAGGCUGUGUUAUAGUCCAGAAUUUAGAUACAGUGCUUAGGACUGAGGUAUGCAGCAAGCCAGUAACAUGGUGGCCUUUAUUGCUAGGGCUUCAAUGCUGAGGAUGUUGGUGUAAUAGCUUUAAAUGACGCGUCUUGAAACACGGA
rnacentral:rRNA from 1 species